CUUCUCAGUGGUUGGCAGGAGGUCAGGGUCGUUGGACCGGGGACUGCGUCCAGGAGGCUCCCGCAGCCCGCAGGGACGGCAGGAGAGUCGGGACGGUCCCAUAACACCUAUGCGCGCCGUGACCGCGGCGAAUGUCCCGCCUCCUCUAACUCCGGUGUCCCCGACCGUAGUGGAGCCACAUCUAGCUGGGGUGUCCCCAGGGUCAGUGCAAAAGUUGGUCGUACCCGCGGCUGCCGGAGUCCCGCUCCAGCAGGUCCAGGAGUACCCAGGGAUGGACGGCGUCGGCAAAAGAGUGAGAGAGCCAGUCAAGAGUGAGACUGCUUUGCAAUCUGCAUGGCCGUUUUGCCCUGACUUUGUCAAGGGGCAUCGACAUUGGUGAAAUGGCUCCCGGCAUGCAGCCGCCCCAGAUUCCUACCCCUGACGUUGAGCAGCUGGGUACCGAGGGCCCGGGGACCUCGGCAGGAGGAGGUGUUGGAAAGAUCAACAGUAGGAUGUGGGCCUCAACAGUCCCUUUUGCAGAACCUCAUGAGAAUGGACGUCGAAGACUCGCCCUGUGCAUGCGUGGCUUUUGGGAAGGCCUUCAAGGAGAAGCAACCUUACUUCACCAAUGAGGAAUUCACGAUAGAAUAAAACCCUCUGUGUGUAAGGAGUAUGGAAAGGUCUUCAGUCCUAUCUCCCACCUCUGAAGUCUGCAUAGUCACAUCAGAGAGAAAUUUUACUCAGUCAACCACCCUGGAAAGCCUUCAGUGAAAAAUACCCCACACACCUUUUCUUGUUGGCGCUCAUGAAGUUCUCGCCUCAUGAAUGCAGCCAAUAUAGAAAACUAUAAUUUUGUAUUCGUAUAAAUGGAAUCUUACAGUUUGUCUAACUGGCUUCGUCCACUAUCUUCAUGCUUUUAAUUUUUUUUCCUCAUGGUGUUGCACAUGUCAGUAAAUUUUUUGCUUCUGAUGGGCUUAAAGGAUUCAAUUUUAUGGAUGUACCACAUUGUGUUGUCCACCCUAGUAAUAGAUAUUGGAGUUGUUCCCACUGUUUAUUUUGAAUAAAGUUGCUAGAAAAAUUUGCAUACAA